UGCGCAGGCGGGCUUGUAAGUCAGUGGUGAAAUACUGCCGCUUAACGGUAGAACUGCCAUUGAUACUGCGAGUCUUGAAUAUGGUUGAGGUAGGCGGAAUGUGUUGUGUAGCGGUGAAAUGCAUAGAUAUGACACAGAACGCCAAUUGCGAAGGCAGCUUACUAAGCCAUUAUUGACGCUGAGGCACGAAAGCGUGGGGAGCGAACCGGAUUAGAGACCCGAGUAGUCC
rnacentral:rRNA from 1 species